rnacentral:rRNA from 1 species
CUACGGGUGGCUGCAGUGAGGAAUAUUGCACAAUGGGGGGAACCCUGAUGCAGCAACGCCGCGAGGAGGAUGACGCAUUUCGGUGUGUAAACUCCUUUUAUAUGUCAAGAAAAUGACGGUAGCAUAUGAAUAAGCACCGGCUAACUCCGUGCCAGCAGCCGCGGUAAUACGGAGGGUGCAAGCGUUACUCGGAAUCACUGGGCGUAAAGGACGCGUAGGCGGGUUGGAAAGUCAGGUGUGAAAUCCUACAGCUUAACUGUGGAACUGCACUUGAAACUUCUAAUCUAGAGUAUGGGAGGGGGAGACGGAAUUAGUGGUGUAGGGGUAAAAUCCGUAGAUAUCACUAGGAAUACCUAAAGCGAAGGCGAUCUCCUGGAACAUUACUGACGCUAAGGCGUGAAAGCGUGGGGAGCAAACAGGAUUAGAUACCCCUGUAGUC